rnacentral:rRNA from 1 species
GAUGAACGCUGACGGCGUGCCUAAUACAUGCAAGUCGAGCGAACGGACGAGAAGCUUGCUUCUCUGAUGUUAGCGGCGGACGGGUGAGUAACACGUGGAUAACCUACCUAUAAGACUGGGAUAACUUCGGGAAACCGGAGCUAAUACCGGAUAAUAUUUUGAACCGCAUGGUUCAAAAGUGAAAGACGGUAUUGCUGUCACUUAUAGAUUGAUCCGCGCUGCAUUAGCUAGUUGGUAAGGUAACGGCUUACCAAGGCAACGAUGCAUAGCCGACCUGAGAGGGUGAUCGGCCACACUGGAACUGAGACACGGUCCAGACUCCUACGGGAGGCAGCAGUAGGGAAUCUUCCGCAAUGGGCGAAAGCCUGACGGAGCAAAGCCGCGUGAGUGAUGAAGGUCUUCGGAUCGUAAAACUCUGUUAUUAGGGAAGAACAUAUGUGUAAGUAACUGUGCACAUCUUGACGGUACCUAAUCAGAAAGCCACGGCUAACUACGUG